rnacentral:rRNA from 1 species
UACGUAGGGGCAAGCGUUGUCCGGAUUCAUUGGCGUAAAGAGCGUGUAGGCGGCCAGGUAGGUCGGUUGUGAAAACUGGAGGCUCAACCUUCAGACGUCGACCGAAACCAUCUGGCUAGAGUCCGGAGAGGAGAGUGGAAUUCCGUGGUGUAGCGGUGAAAUGCGUAGAUAUCGGAGGAACACCAGUGGCGAAGGCGACUUCCUGGCCUGUUCUGACGCUGAGGCGGCGAAA